rnacentral:lncRNA from 1 species
AAAAGAUUAAUUAAUUAACAUCAUUAGAUCACCUAUAGUUUCUAAUCUAUCUCUCUCUCUCUUUCUGGAGACUCUGAUAAGAUAAAAUUAACUGGGAACUCCACCAGCCCUUCUGCUGCGAAGAGAGAAGAUAGAAGCAAGAGAGUGAGCCAGACCCAAUACUAUUGCCACCUUCACUUGACCUCUCUUGGGUAUCAAACGGCCAGAAUAAACCCUCUGUGACUCUGAAUAAUUUCCACCUUUGAUCAUACUCCUCUUAGCACCACCUGAUGCCAUUUUCUUUCUCUUCGGAGACUGCAAAGCUUAAGAGAUAAAACGCUGCUGCUGUCUUGCUGGAUGGCGAUGUCUGAUUGAGGCGUUGUUAUAUACAGAGGAGGUGGCUUUGCUGAAGCUUUGUCCUUUACUUUGUUGACGAUAUUGACCUUGCAUGAGGGAUAUAAUUGUAGACAAGUGAGGGGUGAUAUAGGUAUUUCGUAGACUAAAAAGAUAAAGCAGAAAGAAGAUGGUAGAUCAUGCUUUAUAAAAGUUGAUAAAGCUAAGGAAAGUAGCUUGCUUCGGUAAUUCCCACAACCGAUUGCACAGAAAAUGCUGCAACACUUGGGAUUUGCAUGUGGUUCACGUGGGCAUUUGGGUUUUGCAUUGGUUAGAGCAGCAGCCACAAGCUUAGCAUGGGCAAGAUUGUCACCGUCUAAUCCUAUCCUUAUCUAGUUAUAUUGUCCCAUGAUGGAGCAGCUCAUGAACUGGCCCACCCCAGCCAGAGCCGGUUCUGACUCAGGUCGAGCCCGAGAGCAUUGUUGUGAGUGGCAUGUCAAGGGAGGCCAUCGUGGGGUCUGGGAAGUGGGAAGUGCUCCGAACGUUGAAUCAGGACAUUUUUCUCUUUUGGAGAUUCCACUAAGCAUUUAAAGCAUCUAAUAAUUGCAAUUGCUUUCUUCAAUUAAGGUCCCAUUGUUUUAAAUUUGAAAUUCAUUUUUCUCCACUAACUGAGAUUGAUCGUUGGCCAUUAGAAAAUGGCUAACUCAAGCAGUCAAUUUCUUGCUACAGAAACAGGAG